UUCAAGGAAACGAGCCAUGAUGACUCGUAGAACAGGUCCGUCCACCGCUUGAACUCAUGAUAUAUAAACUCAGAUUUUCCUGUCUGAAGACACAAAAAAAGAAAGAAAAGAGAAGAAGAAAGAAACAGUAAUAGAAACAAAGGAUAUUUUUACUCUACUUGGAACAUUUGAAAUUUUUUAGACUGACAAACCCUGUGAGCAACAAUACUGAAGAUGGCUGGCCUGUGUUGGAUGGCUGUGGUGCUGGUCUUCAGCCUGUCUGUUGGAAACACUGGGACUAUGACUCAGAAUGAGGUCCAAGCAAUUGUAAACUUCAUCCUGAACAACAACACCUUGUCUCCAGACACAGAGGACGACAGCUUCAGAGACCUCAUCGAACAUCUUUCUCCUCCAGAAAAGGGAAGUUACACCUCCAAGGAACACCACAGAGCUGGGUUAAAUCAACACCUUGUCUCCAGACACAGAGGACGACAGCUUCAGAGACCUCAUCGAACAUCUUUCUCCUCCAGAAAAGUUUUUAGACUGACAAACCCUUUGAGCAACAAUCCUGAAGAUGGCUGGCCUGUGUUGGAUGGCUGUGGUGCUGGCCUUCAGCCUGUCUGUUGGAAACACUGGGGCUAUGGAUCAGAAUAAGGUCCAGAAACUUGCAAAAUACAUCCUGAACAACUGCUUCCUAGGAGAAGGACAGGUCAGUUUGGCUGUAAACUUCCCAGCGAACCUGGACCAGAACAGUCUUCACAAGAUCUCAGAAGAAUGUGCACUUAUAAAAGAUAAGAUCGGACAACAAGAUGGACUGUACAAAGUGGGAGCUUAAUAAAGUGACACGCUGGGGACACAAACACAUGUCAGAAGUUUGCUUUGGUCCAAUCAUUAACCAGCAUUUUCCUGCACACGAGGUUUUAAGUGAUUGUUUACCUUAACACGGACUGAUUUUGGGGUUGUUCCAUUUAACUGUUGUGAAUUACCAAAUGCCUGCUCUUAAUGGUUGAGUCUCUUUAAAUCAGAGUGUGGUCUAGACUUACUCUGUCUGUAAAGUGUCCUGAGAUAACUACUGUUAUAAUUAAUAAGAAUCAUGUCCUUCAAUGACUCUCAGUGGUUUUAGGUUAGGAGGAAUUUUCUGUCUAUCCAAAUAAAAAACUAAACUAACUGAAAUACGGUAGACUGCUGCAGAGUUUAAACAGCCAGAUAAUUAAAUGUUUAAGUGUAUUAUAAUUAUUGCCAAUAUAAACAAAAUUGAAAGAGAUUUGAGAUUUUGAACUGAGAUUUGGUGAAAAAGUAGGCUGACUCCAUUCAACCUAACCAGUUACUGUAACGCUGAACAUAUUCUACCCUAUUCCAAAAAGUCAAAUAGUAAAAAUGUUGUUUAUCAAAUACUAAUCAUGUUAAAUGUGGAUGUUUAAUGUGUAUCAACCUCAGUAUUUACAUGAAUCAUGUCAUUGUACUCAAUACUUGUGUAAAGCAAACUGAAUCCUCUGAUGUUGUGCUCUUUCUGAUUAAAGCUUAGCUCAGCAUCCA